rnacentral:rRNA from 1 species
UGCAGUCGAGCGCACAGACGAGGAGCUUGCUCCUCUGACGUUAGCGGCAGACGGGUGAGUAACACGUGGGUAACCUACCUAUAAGACUGGGAUAACUCCGGGAAACCGGGGCUAAUACCGGAUAACACAUGAAACCGCAUGGUUUCAUGAUGAAAGACGGUUUUGCUGUCACUUAUAGAUGGACCCGCGGCGUACUAGCUAGUUGGUAAGGUAACGGCUUACCAAGGCAACGAUACGUAGCCGACCUGAGAGGGUGAUCGGCCACACUGGAACUGAGACACGGUCCAGACUCCUACGGGAGGCAGCAGUAGGGAAUCUUCCGCAAUGGGCGAAAGCCUGACGGAGCAACGCCGCGUGAGUGAUGAAGGUCUUCGGAUCGUAAAACUCUGUUAUUAGGGAAGAACAAGGAUGUAAGUAACUAUGCAUCCCUUGACGGUACCUAAUCAGAAAGCCACGGCUAACUACGUGCCAGCA